GAUGAACGCUGGCGGCGUGCCUAAUACAUGCAAGUCGAGCGAACGGACGAGAAGCUUGCUUCUCUGACGUUAGCGGCGGACGGGUGAGUAACACGUGGAUAACCUACCUAUAAGACUGGGAUAACUUCGGGAAACCGGAGCUAAUACCGGAUGAUAUUUUGAACCGCAUGGUUCAAAAGUGAAAGACGGUCUUGCUGUCACUUAUAGAUGGAUCCGCGCUGCAUUAGCUAGUUGGUAAGGUAACGGCUUACCAAGGCAACGAUGCAUAGCCGACCUGAGAGGGUGAUCGGCCACACUGGAACUGAGACACGGUCCAGACUCCUACGGGAGGCAGCAGUAGGGAAUCUGCCGCAAUGGGCGAAAGCCUGACGGAGCAACACCGCGUGAGUGAUGAAGGUCUUCGGAUCGUAAAACUCUGUUAUUAGGGAAGAACAUAUGUGGAAUUAGCUGUGCACAUCGUGACGGUACCUAAUCAGAAAGCCACGGCUAACUACGUG
rnacentral:rRNA from 1 species